rnacentral:rRNA from 1 species
UACGGGGGGAGCAAGCGUUAUUCGGAUUUACUGGGCGUAAAGGGCGCGUAGGCGGCGUGACAAGUCACUUGUGAAAUCUCCGGGCUUAACCCGGAGCGGUCAAGUGAUACUGUCGUGCUAGAGUGCGGAAGGGGCAACUGGAAUUCUCGGUGUAGCGGUGAAAUGCGUAGAUAUCGAGAGGAACACCUGCGGCGAAGGCGGGUAGCUGGGCCGACACUGACGCUGAUGCGCGAAAGCGUGGGGAGCGAACCGG